rnacentral:rRNA from 1 species
UCUUUUUAUUUAGUAUAUUAAAGAAUUAUUGUUUUUUGUUAUAGUUUAUUAGUACUGUGAAGGAAUUGAUGAAAUAUUUUAUAAUUAUUUUUUUAUAAGUAUGUUUAAUUUGCAGUACCUUUUGUAUCAGGGUUGAUUAAUUAAAUUAAAUUAUUUUUAUAUCUCGAUUUCAAAAGAGCUAAGUUAUUAUUUUAGUUAAUGUGGAAUAAUUAUUAAUAAUAUAAUUUAGUAAAGAAAUUUUAUUCGGUUUUGAAGGUAUCUAGUUUUUUAAGAAAUAAAUUUAAUUUAGCUUUAUUUAUUAAAUUUUAUAUUAUAUUAUAAUUUAUAAAAUAAAAUAAAUAUUAUAGGGGAUAAGCUCUAUAUUUUUCUAUAAAAUGUUAAUUAAUUUAUUCUUGUAGGUUUAAAAUUAUCCAUCAUUAGUAAGUGUGUUAUAAUUUAUUUUUAUUAUUAAUUAAUUUUUUUUUAUUUUUAGUAUAUUAUUAAAAUAUCAGAAUUAAUUUUUUAUUGUGAUUAAUAAUGAUUAAAUUAGUAUAAAUUAUUGUUUAUUGUAUAAUUUAUUUUAUAAUAAAAUAAGGAACUCGGCAAAUAUAGUUCUCGCCUGUUUAUCAAAAACAUGUCCUUUUGAAUUUAAUUGAAGGUCUGACCUGCCCAGUGAUAAUUUUAACGGCCGCGGUAUACUGACCGUGCAAAGGUAGCAUAAUCAUUAGUCUUUUAAUAGAGGGCUGGAAUGAAAGGUUUAACGAGGAACUGACUGUCUCAUUUUAUUUGUUUUAAAAUUUAAUUUUUUAGUUAAAAAGCUAAAAUUUUAUUGGAAGACGAGAAGACCCUAUAGAUCUUUACAUAUUUUUAUUUAAAUAUUUAUAUAUCAAUAUUUUUAUUUUAAAAUGUGUUUUGUUGGGGUGACAAAAAUAUAUAAUUAACUUUUUUAUUUACAUAACAUUGAUUUAUGAUUAUUAGAUCCAAUCUUAUUGAUUAUUAGAUUAAGUUACCUUAGGGAUAACAGCGUAAUCCUCCUCCAGAGUUCAUAUUUACAGGAUGGGCUUGCGACCUCGAUGUUGGAUUAAGAUAAUAAUUAGGUGUAGCCGCUUAAUUUAUAGGUCUGUUCGACCUUUAAAUUCUUACAU